rnacentral:rRNA from 1 species
AUUGAACGCUGGCGGCAUGCUUUACACAUGCAAGUCGAACGGUAACAGGCCGCAAGGUGCUGACGAGUGGCGAACGGGUGAGUAAUGCAUCGGAACGUGCCCAGUCGUGGGGGAUAACGCAGCGAAAGCUGUGCUAAUACCGCAUACGAUCUAUGGAUGAAAGCGGGGGACCGUAAGGCCUCGCGCGAUCGGAGCGGCCGAUGUCAGAUUAGGUAGUUGGUGGGGUAAAGGCCUACCAAGCCGACGAUCUGUAGCUGGUCUGAGAGGACGACCAGCCGAACUGGGGCUGAGACCCGGCCCAGACUCCUACGGGAGGCAGCAGUGGGGAAUUUUGGACAAUGGGCGCAAGCCUGAUCCAGCAAUGCCGCGUGCAGGAAGAAGGCCUUCGGGUUGUAAACUGCUUUUGUACGGAACGAAACGGUCUGGGUUAAUACCCUGGGCUAAUGACGGUACCGUAAGAAUAAGCACCGGCUAACUACGUGCCAGCCGCCGCAGUAAAAC